AUGGAAAACUGCGUUUCAACAAAUCAAACUUUUUUGCCCUGUUUGUCCUUCCAGCUGCAGGGAAGUGUCCUCUGUGACCACAAGAAGAGUGCAUGCUGCCUGGUGCUGAUGUGGUUCACCAAAAACUCGGGCUGCUCCUUUACCAGGGACCAUGAGACCACAGUUGUAGUCCAGGGGAAGUGGUGGCCCCUUCAACGGUGCUUGAAGAUGCUCUCUGGAAGAGAGGAGUCUCCCCAUCCCCAGGAGCAAGUCUGCAGCCAGGUUUGUCAAGGAGGAUUUGCCCUUUCCAUCCACACGUGACUGGAAAUGAUUUCCAGGAGGACAUGCUCCAUGAUCUUUCCAGGUACUGAGGUGAGUCUCACUUUUCUACAGCUCCUCCUCCCAGGUCCUCCUUCUUGCCUCACUUGAAGGUGGAUGUACCAUUAAUUAGCCUUUUUCUAGGAAGAAAUAGAGAUCCCACUCCCCCAGUUUCACCACAGUUUUCAGCUCAGCAGUUGUUUGGUUACUUUCAUACAUGCUCUACGGACUCCCAACACUUCAGAGUCCUUCCUGAUGUUAUCCAAGGUACCAGUUUUCCCUUGUAGACCAUCUUGUCCAUGUCCUUUAUUUCCUUCACUUAGGCAGGGCAGCCUGGUUGGAACAUGAGUAGAGAGCCAUUGAAAGGGGGGGUUAAUUACAGAGGCAUAAAAUUAACAUAGGCUGCCGAUGAGCACUGGCUAUCUACUUUCCACUCAAUACAGUUGAAAAUUUCAGCCUUAAAAGACAUGUUUCAAAACUGGGCUAUUUUUUCCUGUUAUUUCACUACAGGAGCCCUGCACUCUUUCUUCUGCAGGGGUAGAACACAGACUAUUUAGUGCUUUUUGCAACCAACUUACCAUAAUGUGAUUUAUACUUCUUUUUUGGCUACCAGCACCAGAGUUUUACGAUAGGAGCACUUUGUAAAUUACAGCAAAUGAACUUAAUGGUUAUUAUGCUUUACUCAAGUCAAAUUCUCCCUCCCAAAAUAUAGUUUACUUAAUAUAAUUUAAUUAAUAUUUUGGACAGGCAGAAUGCAUACAUACAUUAUAUAGUUGAGCAUAAAAAUCCAGGAAACACUCCUUAUAUGACUUCACCUUGCCUUUCAUAUAUCACAUAAUAAUAAGGAUGCUAAAUAACAGUUGGCAUAUAGGAAUUUGCAACACAGAAGGAUUUUUUUUUUUUUCAUUUAUAGCAAAUGUUUCCUGAGUCUCUUAAGUCCCAAGUGUGGUUCUUAAAUCUCCUGCUUGCUAUACCUCAGAUGUAAAUCUUAGUCAGACCAUCG
rnacentral:lncRNA from 1 species